GUCAGGAUGGCCGAGUGGUCCAAGGCGCCAGACUGAAGUUCUGGUCUCUGGUUGGAGGCGUGGUUUCGAACCCCACUUCUGAGA
rnacentral:tRNA from 1 species